rnacentral:lncRNA from 1 species
AUAAUGUAAACAUAUGUAUAGACUUAGUAAGAGAUUAUUAGUAGAAAAAGAGAGGAAAAUGUGGAGUAUGUAAUUAUAUAAAAAAAUUUAUUCAAUUAUCAACCCAUUUUAGUGUGGAUUGAAAAUAAAUGAUAGGAGUGCUGGACCUUAAUUAUACAUGUUUAACCAAAAUAAUAGCCCAAAAUAAUAUAUAUAGUCCAGCUACUAUACUAUCAAUAGCACAAAGCACUUUAUAUUAUCAAAUUUUUUUUCCAUCAUUUAGAUCUAUCUCUUUGACCAUUUUUACUUGUUAAAUCAUACUAUUCAUUCACUCAAUUCUAGGUGAUCAUUAUCAUCUUAACCACACAUUCCUUCAUUUAAAGGCCAAAAAUCUAAUAGCAUCAAUAGCUUGGUGCUAUUAGCAAUAUAGUAGCCUAGUUCUCUCUCUCUCUCUCUCUCUCUCUCUCUCUCUCUCUCUCUCUCUAUAUAUAUAUAUAUAUAUAUAUAUAUAUAGUCCAAAUGUUAUGCUAUCAAUAGCACCGAGCACUUAGUGCGACUAUGUUUUCCGUCAUUAGAUCUAUUCCGUUGACCAUUUCUACUCAUUAGAUCAUGCUGUUCAACUAGCCAUUCACCCAACUUUACGGGACCACUAUUUUAACUGCACAUCUCUUCAUCUAAUAGUUGAAAAUCUAAUAGCACCAAUAAUUUGAUACUGUCAAUAGUAUUUUAUAUAUAUAUAUAUAU